rnacentral:lncRNA from 1 species
CCUGUAUCAGACCAUCUGGAAGCACAAGUGACCACAUUCUGGUCAUAACUCAAGACUUUGAUCAUAAGUUAAAACCAAAAUGUUGGUCAUUACCCAAGUUGUUCAUAUGUCAGGCCAGUCAUAACUUAAGGGUCUACUGGACUCUGAUAAAGGAUAUCAAAAAGGACAUUAGAAAAUGGAAAAAUAUCUCCUGUUCUUGGAAAGACAAAACCAAUACAAUGGUGCUUCAGUUCACGAACUUAGUUCUUUCCAUGAUUCUGGUCAAAAAUUGAAUUGGAGGAGAACUGAAUCAAAUUCAAUGGUUAGCUUCAAUGUUGACCUUAUGCAGAAAUUUGAUCAAGAAAAUCAAAGAAAUAAAAGAUAAUGACUGAUUGCCUUGAACCCACUCUGAUAGAAGACCUCAAGCUGUGCAACAGCUCCCCUCCACAAGAGGCUCAGAUCAGUCACUAGGAACCUGACAUGUGUCACAUGGGUCAAGACUUGCCCAUGUGCUAACUACCAAAAAAUGAAGAUAUCCUCCAGUUCUCAGAGAUUGCCCUGAUGCUUAAGGAACAGGAACUUGAUGAGAUGGGAAGCUAGGCAACUAAUAACCAAAAAAUAAGCUUUAUGGAGACCUCCUGAACUCCAUCAGCACAGCUUGAGGAGGAACACAUGUCUUCCAACACACAGACCAUCACCUGUGUGAACUUGGGGCAGGCCCUCUACCACCUGUGGAAGGAAGUCAUUUUUGACUCUGUGAAGGAGUGAGGACCCCAAGCAACCCACCAAGAACCACCAUCAGCCAUUACUAAAGAGAAGACAUGGCUUUUGUGGCUUUUUCCUCUCAGGACAUUUUGCUCUUACUGGAGGUGUCUGUUAGGCAUCACUCUCCUCAGCCUUCUUUCCUGGACCACUAUCAUGAAGACUGCUUGUUGACAAAGAGUGCCCUCAGUAUAAGAUUGUUUGUAGAAUUUGAGUGUUUGGAAGGUAUAUAAAAACUCUCAUUGGUGACCAAAGCAUGCUGUUUGCCAUGCAUGUUUGAAG